AACGCACAUUGCGCCCGCCAGCACUCUGGCGGGCAUGCCUGUCCGAGCGUCAUCUCGACCCUCGAGCCCCCCCGGGGGCUCGGCGUUGGGGGAUCGGUCGCCCGCCCGACCGCCCCCCGAAAUGCAGUGGCGACCCCGCCGCGCCCUCCCCCUGCGUAGUAGCGCCUUUCGAGACACCUCGCACCGGGAGCGCGGAGGACGGUCACGCCGUAAAACCCCCUUGCCUCAGCAAGUUGACCUCGGAUCAGGUAGGAAUACCCGCUGAACUUAA
rnacentral:misc_RNA from 1 species